CCUACGGGCGACAGCAGUAGGGAAUCUUCCACAAUGGGCGAAAGCCUGAUGGAGCCACGCCGCGUGGGUGAAGAAGGUCUUCGGAUCGUAAAACCCUGUUGUUAGAGAAGUAAGUGCGUGAGAGUAACUGUUCACGUAUCGACUGUAUCUAUCCGGAAAGACUCGCCUAACUACGUGCCACGAGCCGCGGUAAUACGUAGGUGGCAAGCGUUAUCCGGAUUUAUUGGGCGUAAAGGGAACGUAGAUGGUCUGUUAAGUCUGAUGUGAAAGUGUUCGGCUCAACCGUAGUAGUGCAUUUGAAACUGGCAGUCUUGAGUGCAGAAGAGGUAGGCGGAACUCGAGGUGUAGCGGUGAAAUGCGUAGAUAUAUCGAAGAACCCCAAUGGCGAAGGCAGCUUUCUAAUCUGUGACUGACGCUGAGGUUCGAAAGUGUGGGUAGCAAACAGGAUUAGAUACCCCUGUAGUC
rnacentral:rRNA from 1 species